rnacentral:misc_RNA from 1 species
AACGCAUAUGGCGCCUCCAGGCCCGGCCCGGAGGCAUGUCUGUUUGAGAAUCGCUUCUCCGUAUGGCCACCUCAUUUGCAGGUGACAGCACUUGGGCUCACACCACUGUCUGCCCGGAAGCGCCGCGCCGUCGUGGGGUCACAGCCGUCUGCGACGCGCAUGCAUGCCACCGAUCUCAAAUCAGACAGGACUACCCGCCGAACUUAA